GUCUUUUCAUGUACAAUGAGAACGCCAUGGAAGAGCUGGAGAGGUUGGAUUUGGCAUUUGAGGCAUUGAAGAAAGAGCUAUUUGGACACUUACACGAGGUUUUAAGGAAGCAGUUGUUUGGAAAGGCAGAGGAAGGAGGCUUUCAAAGGCCAAAGUUGGCUAAGCUACCCAAGAACGGGACACCAUUGUUGCCAUCACAAUUUGAGGCUUACAACACCCAGAAAAACAACAAGGAUGUCUACUUUCUGUAGAUUAGGCUUGCUUCUUCCCCUCCUCGGUGCCGAAUAGAUUUCACACUUAGCGAAUUUCAGAAAGUUAGGGCACAACUCAUUCUUCGACGCGAUUUCUCAAUCAGCAGACGCGACGUACUGGGUGAAGGUGGGAUCGAGGAGGUUAAUCGGCACCGGCGUCCAGGGAAAGAUAACAACGCGCACAGCCACGGGGCUGACAGCUGAGAUGCACCCAGCCUGGCUCGCUGUCGUCUGCAGGUAUUUCGUCACAAUGCCAAU